rnacentral:lncRNA from 1 species
CUAUAUAUAUGUAUAUAUCAAACAAGAUAAACAAAUUUUUUCAUUAUAAUUCAUCAUUUGCGACAAUCGUGAGUACAAACACAAAUAACAUCGGGAUUGUUAGGUAUAUGCUCACAGGUGCCGACAGGAUGUAAACUGUAAUAGUCAUUUUCGCACAUGCUCUUGCAACAACUUAGAUCGCAGUCCUUGUCGCAUAGGGCUAUAUACGAAACACAUUUUAUUGGUCUUUUUUCUUCUGUCGUCACUGCAUCAAAUAUGUUGUUUCGAUUACAUUAUACUUUUGAUUUAAACAACACAUAUACAUAAUGAUAAAUGAUUCCUCAUUAGAACUCGUCAGUUGAUUGUAUAUAAUAAUAUCAUACAUUACUAUAUUAAAUUGAUGAAGAAUAUCAUAUAUAUUACCUGUUAUUGUCGCCGAGGAUAAAGAAUGCUGGAGGUUGAUCAAUAGCAUGCUUAACAUGAUUACACAAAGUACUUUUGUCAUCAUGAAUAUAUAUUUAACAAUGUUGAGAUAAAAUUGUUGAUCA